GGAAAGUUGCAAAGUACUUUGAAGAGAGAGUUCAAGAGGACGUGAAACCGGUAGGAUGGAAGCAGAUGAAGUUGACGAACGUGUGUCGUACUCAGAAUCGCUGUCAGCGGUUUGUUUUUACGGCCGAUGUGGGCCGGCGGCUUUGGUCAAUGCAACGCGUCUAGCGUCGAUGGAGACCCUGCGGAGGGAUAAUCGGUCGGCGUACGGUGCUUGGUAUGGCUAAGGUUUCGCCGGUCUUAAAGUCAGCGCCUCAUCUGACCCGUCUUGAAACACGGACCAAGGAGUGUAGCGUUUGCGCAAGUCUUAGAGUGUGUCGAAACUUUGAGGCGUAACGAAAGUAAAUGCAGUUUAACCUGCUGACUUGGGAUGCGUUGUCUCCUGUGGACGGCGCUGGACCAUGGUUUUAUCGCGAUCGCUUGCGAUGCGGUGAAAAUAGAGCGUAAACGGUGCGACCCGAAA
rnacentral:rRNA from 2 species